CUUUUCUGUCUCUCUCUUUUCCUCUCUCCUUCCCUUCUCCUUCUCUGUAUCCCCCCCUUUCCCUUCCUUCUCCCUCUUCUCACCACCUCUUUGGCUCCACAUCCCCUCGCCCUUUCCUCAAAGCAGUUGUUCGUGAAGCAUCAGUUUUAAUUUUGAGCUGACAACUCCCUGAAAUCCAUUUCUGUUCUUCUACACUCCGGGGCAAGGUCCACCCAGCAGCACGUAGCCCCCCCUCACCAAACUGCAACUGAAAUGCCCUUUUCUGCUCUGAAACACGAGAAAAAAUAACCUUCAGAGUCUGAUCUGGCCAAGUUAUAUCGAUCAGUUCUUUCUCCAGGCUCCCCCUAAAGCCCCCCCUCCCCGAAAAUGGAAAAGAGAAAAAAAGUAAAGUGACAGUGGGGUGAAAAGGGCUCCCUGGGAGCCGAGCUGCGCUUUGUGGCUGGAUCUCCCGAGGGAAUCUUAGGCUGAGGGAGUGUGGAUGUCUAGCACAACAGAGUUCCUCCCCUCCACCCACCCCACCCCAACUUUGUUCUCGCUGGCUGCCUUCUGGGGGAAGGUCAGGGAAGGCGGCUGCUAUAACUCCACUCUGCCCCCAAGAGGCGUCUUCCCGAAUCGCUUCCAUUUUCUCUUCAGAGCACAGUGUGUCCCGCCCGAACAGAGCCAGCCUUUCCUGGCACUGUUUGUUCCUUUCCAAUUUUUCUCAUGCUUUGAAAACAAUAGAUAGGAUCCUGGGUCUGAGAGAGCGGAGGAAGAGGCCAGGCUGAAGGCGUUCCCCGGGCACCUCCGGGGCCCUCUGCCCCUCUAGCUGGCGGCCGUGGCCCGGGAGCUGGGGACAGGGAGAGCUUCGGGACGCCUCUGAAGGGCUGUGCAGGGGCCCAGCUCAGCAGGCUCUAAGGGAAAGCUGCAGGAGUCACUUCUGAUCCUUGGAAUCCUGUGCGAACCGGGCUCCGCCUCGGCUGUUGGGCUCGCCAGUGCCCAAAGGCAAUAACUCCUGCCCACAGGGCAUUCAAUGGGGGUUUGGGGAUAACGUGGCAAGAGAAACCAACAAAGGAGAAGUAGUUUUACUGAGUAGCUUGGAGAGGCCAUGGCGGCGAUGGAGAGGAAGACCAAGAGCCAUUGAGAGCCAAGAGGCCUUAAUAAUAAAGUUGCUCUUCUUGGAUCUUGGGGGCAACGGGAUCCGAGCGACUGAGUGGGGAGCAGGAGCGCUCGGGCCGUGAAGAACAGCCUGUACCAAGGUGUGCGAUUUGCGAGGAAUGGGGAGCAGCCCGCUCUGGCUGGAAGGAGAUGUGGGGAGGGAAGGGGGAGGGAAAUGCAUCCAGCAGAUCGGAGGCUUGGAAGGACAAACAGAGAGGUCAGCACUUUAACCCAGAGGCCCCAGGGAGCCCCCGAGGCUCCUUGAGAUGGGGGCCAUGAACCAGUGAGACCAGCGCUUCAGGAAAAUCCAUCUAGGAGUUUCACCAGGAGAACUGGGAAGGACAGAAGCCUUGCCAGGAAUUGGAAUUUGAGAGGACGCUCAUCAGCUGGGGAACGGCUGGACAAGAUGUGGUGUGUGGAUGUAAUGCAAUAUUAUUAUGAUACAAGAAAUGAGAAGAAAAACCUGGAAAGACUUCCACGCACGGAUGCUGAGUGAAGUGAGCAGGACCAGGAGAACGCUGUCCACAGUAACUGCAAUGUUGUUCCCUGAUCAGCUGUGAAGGACUUAGCUCUUCUUAGCAAUACAAUGAUCUGAGACAAUUCCAGAUGUUAUCCACAUCCCUAGGACGAAUUAGGGAGACGGAACGCAGAUCAGAGUAGGCUAUUUUCAUGUUUGGGGUUUUUUAAUGGCUUUUCUCUUUUGUUCUGUUUUUUCUUUCAGUGUAGAAAUAUAUUUACGUGAUCGCGUAUAUAUUGAUUAUAUCCCAUUGCUUGCUGUCCUGGAGAGGAAGGAUGGGAAGGAGGAAGAAAAAAAUUGAAACUCAAAGUCUUAUUUAAAAUGAAUGUUGAAAACUAUCUUUACAUGUAAUUGGGGAAAAAAUACUGUUUACAAAAAAAAAAAAAGUUUAAAAAGAUGCCAGCAGAGAAUCGUGCUCUCUCAAUGACAGUAAGUGUGCUUAUUGACAAUCCACUUCUUGCCAAAUGUUUCAAGAAAAGCAACUGUUUUCUAAGCAUCUAUUAAAUGACUUGGGCGGCUACUAAGUGUCUGAGGGUGGAUUUGAAUUCAGUUCCUAGCUCCAAGCCUGGCGCUGUCUCCACCGCACCACCUAGCCGCCUCAUAGUUACUGUCCUUCGAGUUCUCUCUUCUAGAAGUAAACCAUGACUUUUGGCUAGGUGAGAAAUGAGAUCCAGCCCCACCCCACCCCCCAAAAAAGACCUCUUUUACCUAUUUCAUAAAAGAAAUCGGUCUGGGAGGGUUUCUGGCCCAAAGAGAAACAAUUGUUAUUUACAUUCACUCUGAGCCAUCGGAACCCAAACAAUGACCAAGGAAGGCUUGGGUUGGGACCUGCUACUGGUCAGUCUUUGAGAGUGAUUUGGGUUUAAGGCAGGAUCCCUAAAAAAGAAAUCUAGUCUGUAAACCACAAGAUAUCUCAAAAGGUUUCGCUGAUCAAAAUUUGCUUGUAAAUGAUUCCUUAUAUGGACAAAGGGAGAAGAGGGAAGGAAGGAGAGGGCCGAGCUACUCAUAUAGAGCUGACCACUUGGCCCCCAGGGGACAGCUACUACUACUCCCAGAUUGUUGGUUGUUGUCUUCCAAGAGGGCCGUGACUGACCCUGCCCUUCUGAGUGCUCCCGCACAAGACACUCCACUUCCAACUGUUCACUUUCCCAGGCUGUUCCCACACCUGGGAUGCUGUCUCCUGCACAGAUUCCUCCAAGCCCAGCUAAGCUCCUAGCUUCUCUAAGAAGGCUUUUCCAAGCUCCCUUUUUCUUCUCACUUUCCUUCACUGAUUGACUCCAGAUUACCAUUGCCAUGGCAUUGCCCCCAUUUGCCAGUGAGCUUCUUCAGGGCGGGCACUAUUGUUUUUAUUUUCUUUUGCUUCUUUGGCUCUUAGCACACCCAGAACCUAGUGUUUAGUAGGCAUUAAAUGGAAGCUUGUUGCUAACUGGCCAAACCCCUCUCAUUCUGUUCCUCUGGCUGCUUAUACACAUCUUCCCUUUGCUACUCCCUCCUCCCCUCGAUCCCUAGGCACUUACUGCUUCAUAGGCCCCCAGCUCAACCCCUCACUCCAGAUUUCUUCCCUCUCAUUCAAUUGACAACUCUUCCCAUAAUUCCCAGGGAUCUCUUAAUUACCAAAUCCAAAAUUACUGCAUAUGCCCCUCUCCACCCCUAAUUUCUUAUUAAACCUCAAUGCCUCCUCCAAAGUCUUAGGUGGAGCUCUGUCCACCUGCCUGCCUGUCUGUCUGUCUGCAAAACUUUCUGUUUAUCUUAGCUGGCUAGCUAUAUCAUCUGCUUGUUUAUCUUGUCUCUUGGUUCUAUCCUUUCUUUAUUCCUCCCUCCCUCCCUCCUUCCUCCUCCUCUUCUUGCUUUUCCUCCUCCUUCUUUUUCUCCUCCUUCUCCUUCUUCUCCCUUCCUUCCUCCCCUCCGUCUCUGUCUCUGUCUCUGACUUUCCCUCCCUCUCCCUCUGCCUCCAUGUGUGUUCCCAGUCUGUGUGUUGGCUGGUUGUGCCUUCACACCAGACUGUACACGGGCUUCCUGUCCUAGCCAGCCAGCCUCCUCCUACAACACUUUUGCAUGUCCUUGGGACAAUACUCCCUUUCCUAGUCAAACUUCCCUCACGUGUCUCUUCUUCCCAUGUUAAAACGAGCACUCUUUCAGGGCGGAGGUUGUAUCCUUUUGGGGCCCUCAGCUCUUCAUAUGAUACCUUGCACAUAGGAAACAGCUACUCAAUUAUGUUCAUUCAUUCAUUCAUAUUCAGCUCAAAUUCAAGUCAGAAAACAUUAUUAAGUUUAAUAUAUUAUGAUAAUUAAUUAUUAUGAUCAUAAUUAAGCUUUAUUAUACUGUGUAUCAAACACUGUGCUUAAAAAUAGGACACAAAGAAAAGCAAAUUGCACUCCCUUUUCCCAAAUGGGAAAGACAACAUGAAAACCCCCAUGUACAAACAAGAUAAAGAUUGUGUGUAUGGUACGUAUGGAUAAGUAUAUAUUUAUUUUUAUAUAUAGUUAUACACCCUAUAUAUAAACUGUAUGAAUCUAUAUGCAUGUAUGUAUUAUGUAUGUUUGUGUUAUCUGCAUAUAGAGGAUAAAUUAGAGUUUAUGUGAGAGAGAACAAGGUGACCUGAGAAAGGCUUCUUUCAGAAAGUGGCAUUUUAGCUGAGACUUGAAGGGAUCCAGGAAAACAUGGUCUCAUAGACCUCUGUGCAUCCCGAGAUAAUAAUAAUGCUGUUUGUUAGUUCUCUGUCUUAGCUUUGUGUCAUCCGAAAAUCUGAUAAGAAUGCCGCUGGUCCUUCAUCCAACGCUAGUAAUAAAAAUGUGACAUAAAGAGCACUCGGCCCCAAAAGGUCCCUGGGCACUGCAUCAAAGAGCACCUUCCAUGGCAAACCACAAAUGCCUACCAUCGAGACUGCUAUUUGGCCAGUUCCAAGUCCUAAUAUUCUUAGCUCUCUUCGUCCUUCCCGUGCCAGACACACAAAAUUGCUUCCCAAAAGCUUUGUUAAAAUCUAUUUAGACGGAAUGUCCAGCUUUCCCAUGAUCCCUGGUCUUGUAAUCAUGUCCAGAAAAGAAAGAGGUUAGUCCAGAAAGGAAAGAGGGCACCCUACUUUUGAUGAUACCCAACAGGCUCUUUGUCAUUCAGUGAGUAUUUCACUUACAUGCCCCACAAAGAAGGAGUUAAUACAAAUAGCGGGACAGAAAUCAGUGACGGGCAGACACAUCAGCCAAACUGAUUAGAACACAGGCUACCCAAACCCUGGGGCCGACACUAUCUGUCUGACUUGCAGGAAGAAAGGUUUCCAAGAGGGAAGAAAUAAAAGCCAGGAGAAUGAGUCAUGAUCCAACACUGGGAAGUAGGAGGGAGUGGAGGGAGAGGGGAGAGGAUCCGAUGGGGAAAGGACUUGCCAGAGUGUCACAGUUAUGCUGAAAUAUCAGCUGAGACUUCAACCACACCGGAAAGACUCAGAACCCAAAGAUGCUGUAGAAAGAAAAUUAUUAUUUACAAGAAGACCAAAUCUGUCUCUGUAACCAGUCUACUCUUGAGCCAUGCAGCAGUCCGUAAUUUUCCAGACAGGGUAUGUGUGUGAUUUCCUUUCUGAUUGUAGCUCUCUGGGCUCUGCCCUUCUGCUCUGUAACACGUCAAGAUGGUUAUUCAUUAGCUCCAGGCCUGCUUAAAGGGGAUGCUUAAGCUUCCCAAGAUACCUGCAACUGAGUUAUAGAACAACACACUUCACACUUUUGAAACUAGGUGUGUCCUCUGCAAGUGGCUUCCUUGGUCCCCAAACACUUCUUGUUCUAUUCCAGUAAAUUAAGGACAUAGCUCAUGUUUUUUUCCUUGUUCUCUCAAAUAUGCCCUAAUAUGGCUUAUCUUUAAAAACCUGAUAUUUUAUCAUAUCACUAACUGCUUGGAUUUGUAUUGUGCUCCAUCUCUUCUUCUUCUUUCACAUGUAAAGAACCAUUUACACCUACUGCCUCUACUUCCUUACUACCCAUUCACUUUUCAAUCACUGGCCACCCGGCUUCAGACCCAUCACUGAAUUAAACUGCUUUUCCCCCAGGUUCUUACUGAAAGCUUGCUUCUAACCCUAACUUACAAACUCCUGUCCUGGAUCCUCUUCUCUUCUCCUCUCCCUCUAUACCGCUACACUUGGUGAUCAUAUGCAUUUAAUUACCAUCUCUAUACUGAUGAUGGUAUGGUUACUGAUCUAGAGCCAGACAUCCUGGAAACGAAGUCAAGUGGGUCUUGGGAAAUCUUGCUAACAAAAAGGUUAGUGGAGGUGAUGGAAAUCCAGCCGAGCUAGUUUAAAUCCUCAAAUCCUGUGAUGCUGUUAAAGCACUGCCCUCAAUAUGCCAGCAAACUUGGAAAACUCAACAACAGCCACUGGAUUGGAAAAGAGCAGUUAAAGCCCCAGUCCUGAAGAAGGGCAAUGCCCAGGGAGUGUCCAGUUACCAAAUAAUUGGGCUUAUUUCACACACAAGCAAGUUUAUGCUUAAUUUUCUGCAAGCUAGGCUUCCACAAUCUAUGAACCAAGAAGUUCAGGCUGGCUUUCAGAGGAAGAGGAACUAGAGACCAAAUUGCCAACUUUCACUGGAUUACGGAGAAAGCAAAGAAAUUAACCUCAACUUCAUUGAUUACAAUAAAACCUUUGGUUGUAUGUAUUACAAGAAGAUGUGGCAAGUCCUCAAAGAACUGGGAGGACCAGAUCCCCUUCCUUGUCUCCUGAAGAACCUGAAUGUGGACCAAGAAGCAACAGUUAGAACUGAACAUGGAACAACUGAUUGAUUUAAGAUGUAAAAAGAGGCCACGUAUUGUCACCUUAUUUAUUUAACUUAUAUGCAGAGUACAACCUGUGAAAUGCCAGGCUGGAGGAAUUCAAAACCAGAAUUAAGGUUGCUGGGAGAAAUAUCAACACUCGCAGAUAUGCAGUUGAUAUCACUGAUGAGAGAAAAUGAAAAAUGCAGAAGCCUCUUGAUGAGGGUGAAAGAGUAUAAAAGCUUGCUUGAAACUUAACGUAAAAAGGAAGAUCUUGACAACUGGUCCCAUCACUUCCUGGCAAAGAGAAUAAAAGCAGCAUCAGAUUUUAUAUUGUUGGGAUCAGAGAUCACUGCAAACGGCAAGUGCAGUCUUGAAAUUCAAAGAUGCUUGCUCCUUGGAAAGAAAGCUUUGGUCAAUCUAGACAGCAAAUUACAAAGCAGAGAGAUUACUCUACCAACAAAGACCUGUAUAGUCAAAACUGUGGUUUGUUUUUUCAGAAGAAAUGUAUGGCUGGGAGAGCUGGACUGUAGGGAAAGCUGAGCACGGCAGAACUGAUGUUGGAACUGAGAAAUGGGGGAGGAUAGGAGGAUCUGGUGUGCCACAGCCCAUGGGCUCAAGAAGAGUCACAACUGAGCAGUAACACCAGCCUACUGAUGAUUCUCAAAUCCGCCUUUCCCACUAUUCUGCCAACCGCCAAUGUUGCACCUCCAGUGGCCAUUCAGACAUCUCACACUAAAUAACCAGCAACCAUCGUCAAUCCAUAUUGAUCAAAAGCAAACUCCUCUUUUACCUUAACUUCCCCUGCCACCUUUCUUGUUACUACAGAGGAGACAGUCACGCUCCCAAUCCCCCCAUUCACAGAUGAGGAUUUAUCUUGGACUCCUCAUGGACCUCCAGAUUUCAGCCUGGCACUAAGGCCAGGCUGGAGGAAUUCAAAACCAGAAUUAAGGUUGCUGGGAGAAAUAUCAACACUCGCAGAUAUGCAGUUGAUAUCACUGAUGAGAAAAAAUGAAAAAUGCAGAAGCCUCUUGAUGAGGGUGAAAGAGUAUAAAAGCUUGCUUGAAACUUAACGUAAAAAGGAAGAUCUUGACAAUUGAUUUCACUUCUCAGCAUCUCUCAAAUACCCCCCUUCUCUCUUCUGGCCCCACCGCCACUGCGGGGAAGACCCUGCUCCCCUCACAUCCAGGCACCCAUACGGCUGGUGGGUCGGCCUGCCUCAAAUCUCUCCUCCAUUGAUCCAUCCUCCUCCCAAUCACUGGAGAGGUUUUCUCUAAAAACCAGCUUGAUCAUGUGCCCUGCUCCCUACUCCACUAAUUCCACCAGCUCUCUCUCCUCUCUGGUUUUAAACACAAAACCCUCAACUUGGUGUUCAAAACUGAGUCUUAUACAUUAUUUCCCAAAGUGCACUCCUGGACUCAGUGACUCUUGGUCUCCAUGUCUCAGUUCUGGAAAUUUUCUCUGACUGUCCUCCUUGCCUCAAGUGCUCUUCCUCCUCACCUCCACCUCCUAGCUUCUUUAAAUCAUAACUAAAAUCUGUCUUCUGCAGGAAACCUUUUCCAACCCCUCUUAAUUCUAGUGGCUUCUAUCUGCUAAUUAAUUCCUAUUUAUCCUGUAGAGAGUUUGCUUGUACAUAUUUGUGGGUCUAUUGUCUUCCCCAUUCGAUUAUGAGCUCUUUUAGGACAAGGACUGUCUUUUUGCUUCUUUUUGCAUCCCUGUGCUCAGCAUAGUGCCUGGCACUUCAUAGACACUUAAGAGAUGGGUAUUGGUUGGUUUCAGUUGCUAAAUCCCCCAAAGACACAUAUCCUGUUGGCUUAGUUCUUCUGCUAAAAGUCCCAGAAUCCUCCCAGGUACUCAGGUAUUCAACUUUGGAGCCAUCCUUGACACUCUCUGAUCUCCAACCUUCCCCCAUCCAACCGCUUGCCAAUCUUGUCGAUUCUUCCUCCAUCUCUCUCACAUCCAUCCCAUUCUUUCCACUCAUCUGGACAACCACUCCUCAGCCCUCUCCCAUUCUAAAGGCUCCCUAAUUGGCCUCCAUUUUUAAUGUUUCCCUGAUCUAGUUCAUUCAUAAUUCAUACCUACCAAAAUCAUAUUCCUAAGUCAUGGAUCUGAUCAUAGCACUGAGCACUCACGCAAAGACUGUUUGAGGCUCUUCACUGACUCUCUAUUUUAUUUAGGAUAAAGCCCAAGCUUCUUACUUUAGCAUCCACAUUCUGCCUCUUCUCUCCUUCCCAGUCACAUGAAUCAAUUAGUCUUCCCUGAUCCCAUUACAUCUCAAAAGCUUUGCCCCCUUCCUCACCACAGUGUCUUAAGGGACACAAAAUCUUGCAAAAAUGAAUGUUGAAAACUAGCUUUACGUGUUUUU
rnacentral:lncRNA from 1 species